GUGCUUGCUUUGUCAGCAUAUAUACUAAAACUGAAACAAUACAAAAAACAUUAUUGUAACCCCUGUGCAAGGAUGACAUACAAAUUCUUAAAAUGUUUCAUAUUUUU
rnacentral:snRNA from 1 species